rnacentral:antisense_RNA from 1 species
CUUCACCGACCCGAGCCACAACGGCUCCGCCCGAUCCUGCCCGUACGUCGCCUGCAACGCCCGCGCCUC